GGAGUGUUAGGGUCGGCAACGCGCAUGUAACUCCUCUGGAGUUGCAGGCGUACAUAGGCUACGGAGACUGCUUAACAUCAGGCGGGCCGUAUGCUUGUUUGCCACCGACGUAGUAUAAAAAAAACGAGUUUGUUGUCCCUUGGACAACGGGACAGAAUAACAACACAAAAAAAGUUGAUUCGCCCGUUUAC